rnacentral:RNase_P_RNA from 1 species
GAGGAAAGUCCGGGCUUACCAGUAGGAAUUGUUGCAGGAUAAGCUCCUGUGCAAGUAAUUGUGAGGCUAGUGCCACAGAAAAUAAUACCGCUAUGAUUAUAGUUUAGUAAGGGUGCAAUGGUGUGUGUGAUAGUUUUAAGUCUUUAUUUAUUUCAAUUUUAUGAUUUUUUGACAAUAAGGCUAUCUAAUGCUUAGAAGAGAACAAAAAACAUGUUGCCUGAUGGGCUUAAUAAAUUUUUCAUUACUCUACCAUUUUAACAUUCAAUGUUAUUGUAAUGUUGUAAUAAGCCAUUUUAAUGAUAGUUUUACUUUUCUAGCCUAAAUUGUUAAACACCUCAUAAAGACUUUAUAACUUAAAUCGAUUCUUAUGAAAAAAUCUCUUUAUAUUAUUUAAAUACUUUUGUAAUAUAAUUGAGUUCUCCUGAGCACUUUUUGCAUAAAUGCAGAUGUAAUGUUCUUUAAAAAGCUUAUGCUUAUUUCAUUAAAAGCGUACCAGUGAUACUGAGAAGUGUCUGCUAGGUAAACCCCAGCAAAAAGCAAGCUCGUCUCUUAGUUUUUAACUGCUUAUAAUUGGCGAUCGAAAAGUGCACAAAGUCGUAAGUAAUUUUGACUUCAGAUAAAUAACCAUCCUUUUAGAUAUCUAUGAUUGAUAUUUUAAAAGAACAAAACCCGGCUUAG